AGAUCCCACGAAGAUCAAAAGAUCCCUGAAUUCAGGUUCCAAAGAGGCACAGACGUUAUUGCGACAUCCUGACCCAUCUCGGACAUAAAUUCCAUUAAAGUUCCAUGAAACAUCGCACAGGAAGUGGCAGAGUUGAGCUGAUCCAUGAUCCAUCUGCCUCCCAAGAUCUUCGUAAGACACAACACCUCAUCCCGGGGAGCAAAUUGCUGCAGGUAUGUCAGAGACCAAGGCCUUCUCUCAGAGAAAUCUACUGCUAGAUAUUGAUCCUAAGGAAAUCACCAGAAAUGGGUACAAAGUCUCCACUUUAGGAAGUUCAACCUAGAAUUGUUCAAGAUGUCCAAAAACAGAGACGGUUAGAUAAAUCAUGGCACAUCUUUAAAAGGAAAACUUGAUAGGCAUUAAAAAUGACAUGAUGCAAGCAUGUUCAAUUAUGUAGAAAGCUGAUGACAGAAUAAUAAGUGAAAAAAAUUACAAAUCAAUUUAUUCUGUAUAAUGCCAUCUUAUUAAAAAAAAGAAAGAUUGGACUUCCCUGAUGGCACAGUGGUUAAAAAUCCACCUGCCAAUGCAGGGGACACAGGUUCAAUCCCUGGUCUGGGAAGAUCCCACAUGCUGUGGAGCAACUAAGCCUGUGUGCCACAAUUACUGAGCCCACGUGCCACAAC